rnacentral:rRNA from 1 species
UUAAGCGACUAAGCGUACACGGUGGAUGCCCUGGCAGUCAGAGGCGAUGAAGGACGUGCUAAUCUGCGAUAAGCGUCGGUAAGGUGAUAUGAACCGUUAUAACCGGCGAUUUCCGAAUGGGGAAACCCAGUGUGAUUCGUCACACUAUCAUUAACUGAAUCCAUAGGUUAAUGAGGCGAACCGGGGGAACUGAAACAUCUAAGUACCCCGAGGAAAAGAAAUCAACCGAGAUUCCCCCAGUAGCGGCGAGCGAACGGGGAGCAGCCCAGAGCCUGAAUCAGUGUGUGUGUUAGUGGAAGCGUCUGGAAAGGCGCGCGAUACAGGGUGACAGCCCCGUACACAAAAAUGCACAUGCUGUGAGCUCGAUGAGUAGGGCGGGACACGUGGUAUCCUGUCUGAAUAUGGGGGGACCAUCCUCCAAGGCUAAAUACUCCUGACUGACCGAUAGUGAACCAGUACCGUGAGGGAAAGGCGAAAAGAACCCCGGCGAGGGGAGUGAAAAAGAACCUGAAACCGUGUACGUACAAGCAGUGGGAGCACGCUUAGGCGUGUGACUGCGUACCUUUUGUAUAAUGGGUCAGCGACUUAUAUUCUGUAGCAAGGUUAACCGAAUAGGGGAGCCGAAGGGAAACCGAGUCUUAACUGGGCGUUAAGUUGCAGGGUAUAGACCCGAAACCCGGUGAUCUAGCCAUGGGCAGGUUGAAGGUUGGGUAACACUAACUGGAGGACCGAACCGACUAAUGUUGAAAAAUUAGCGGAUGACUUGUGGCUGGGGGUGAAAGGCCAAUCAAACCGGGAGAUAGCUGGUUCUCCCCGAAAGCUAUUUAGGUAGCGCCUCGUGAAUUCAUCUCCGGGGGUAGAGCACUGUUUCGGCAAGGGGGUCAUCCCGACUUACCAACCCGAUGCAAACUGCGAAUACCGGAGAAUGUUAUCACGGGAGACACACGGCGGGUGCUAACGUCCGUCGUGAAGAGGGAAACAACCCAGACCGCCAGCUAAGGUCCCAAAGUCAUGGUUAAGUGGGAAACGAUGUGGGAAGGCCCAGACAGCCAGGAUGUUGGCUUAGAAGCAGCCAUCAUUUAAAGAAAGCGUAAUAGCUCACUGGUCGAGUCGGCCUGCGCGGAAGAUGUAACGGGGCUAAACCAUGCACCGAAGCUGCGGCAGCGACGCUUAUGCGUUGUUGGGUAGGGGAGCGUUCUGUAAGCCUGUGAAGGUGUACUGUGAGGUAUGCUGGAGGUAUCAGAAGUGCGAAUGCUGACAUAAGUAACGAUAAAGCGGGUGAAAAGCCCGCUCGCCGGAAGACCAAGGGUUCCUGUCCAACGUUAAUCGGGGCAGGGUGAGUCGACCCCUAAGGCGAGGCCGAAAGGCGUAGUCGAUGGGAAACAGGUUAAUAUUCCUGUACUUGGUGUUACUGCGAAGGGGGGACGGAGAAGGCUAUGUUGGCCGGGCGACGGUUGUCCCGGUUUAAGCGUGUAGGCUGGUUUUCCAGGCAAAUCCGGAAAAUCAAGGCUGAGGCGUGAUGACGAGGCACUACGGUGCUGAAGCAACAAAUGCCCUGCUUCCAGGAAAAGCCUCUAAGCAUCAGGUAACAUCAAAUCGUACCCCAAACCGACACAGGUGGUCAGGUAGAGAAUACCAAGGCGCUUGAGAGAACUCGGGUGAAGGAACUAGGCAAAAUGGUGCCGUAACUUCGGGAGAAGGCACGCUGAUAUGUAGGUGAAGUCCCUCGCGGAUGGAGCUGAAAUCAGUCGAAGAUACCAGCUGGCUGCAACUGUUUAUUAAAAACACAGCACUGUGCAAACACGAAAGUGGACGUAUACGGUGUGACGCCUGCCCGGUGCCGGAAGGUUAAUUGAUGGGGUCAGCGCAAGCGAAGCUCUUGAUCGAAGCCCCGGUAAACGGCGGCCGUAACUAUAACGGUCCUAAGGUAGCGAAAUUCCUUGUCGGGUAAGUUCCGACCUGCACGAAUGGCGUAAUGAUGGCCAGGCUGUCUCCACCCGAGACUCAGUGAAAUUGAACUCGCUGUGAAGAUGCAGUGUACCCGCGGCAAGACGGAAAGACCCCGUGAACCUUUACUAUAGCUUGACACUGAACAUUGAGCCUUGAUGUGUAG